ACCUUUAGAAGGCAAUGAGUCCAAAAACCCCCACCCUUCUCCUCCUUAAGAUUUUACAGACGGGAGGGAUGUGGCUCAGACAAGAGAUAAGAUACUCCCGUCUGGGUAAAGAGAGGGAGGGAAUAAUAAAGAGACUUUGAACUCCCCUUGUUGGCGGAGUCCCCUUGUAGGUGGGGAAAGGGGGGCAGGUGAUUUUGUAUGCAAAGGGAGGGUCUCUGGAGGAUUAUUGUGUGUCUUCCAUAACUUCUAGAUGUCACAUGCUUUAGUGAGACCAGAAAAAUAGAACCAUAACUCCCAGUCAAGUCAUUUUGUGUAGCUAAGAGGGAAGAAAUAUGCCAACCUCAGCUGUGGACAAAUGUGUACUUUCAUAUAUAUUUUCACUUAAUGCAAAGCCUUCUCAGAAAGUUUUAAACACCUAAGUGACAGGAGUAGAUGGAUCUAAUGACUGAGCUGAUCUCUUUCUACUGGCAACAGAUUUGAGUUUGAAUUCAGUUAUAAAUAUAUGUAUUUCAAAAGAACGUGAAACAAUCUGAACCCCAACUUAGCUUUGAUGCUCUGUAACAAUAAACCCAGUUGUAGGUGCUCCCAUCAGACAAACUGGGUUGACUAUUUCCAAGAAAAUCAGGGUUGUCUUUUUCUUGGUGUUUAGAGCUAGUUCAUACAACACAGUUCCUUUAUCCAAGCAAUCCCACGUGAUUAUUGACUAUGUGUUUAACAACGAUGGUGGGUGGGGGGAAUUCAUUUUACUUUGCUGCUUUAUCUGGGAAAACCCGCUGUUUACUGCUGAAUUUGAACAAAUGUCAAUCUGCAGGAAACCCGAUUGACAUUUCUUAACGAUCCAGUGGUAGAGAAGGGAUUUCCCCGGGGAAAGCAGCGGGGCAAGGGCAAAACCGCUCGGACCUGUGCCUGGGAAGCACAAGACAAGUGGAAGUUUGGACAAGGCCAAAGUGUCCUGGUGGGGCUCUGCUUGGCCACAGUAGUUCCCCCAAGGCCUCUCUUUUGGUUAAUGCAAAAUAACAAGGGCAGUCAUAUUAAAGGCACAUAUUACAUUGUGGGACUUACACAUAGUGGAUAUUUUAAAUGUUAUGUUCUUAAGGUCCCUCCAAACAUUUCUGUUGCUCUGAUUUGUAGGAUGAAGCUCAGAAGAAAGAAGGAGGUUUCCAUGAAAUGCUGAUCUGGAGGACCGGUUCCUGGAACCUCUCAAUUUUCUUCCUCAUCUGAGCAGAUUUUGCAAAGACUCAGAAGAAGAGACUUCUCGGUCAAAUACAAAAAAAGCCUGGGCUCCAUACAAGAUGGCAGUGACAACGUGGGUAGCCAUACCAUGCUCAAAUACAGAUGGGAAUUUGCCUGAUCCUUCCACUUCAACCAGUCCCCCCAGAAAACUGACUCUGAGUGAUGCCGAGGCAUUGAGGGCAGAGGUCUUAUCUUCAAUGGAAUCAGAAGCAAUGAUCUCAAUUUCAGUCUUGGGCUGCCUUUGGAUACUCAAGUCCUUCCGAACAUAGGAAACUCAUUUUCUGUGUCCCAUGCCCCCAGGAAUGUCCUCUUGGUAAGCACCAUUUGUGAAUUAUGUGCCACAGGAAUCUAUAUGCUUUCUGGUAUUCUCAAAGAAUAUCACAAUUAAGUGCUUUAAGAACUCAAGUGGAUGCUAUCCUGACCUGAUUUGUCACCACAACCUGUCUCAUUUCCUCUCAAACUCUCUUCCAAAGUACGUUAGUUCAGGCACUGGGAUCGGCCCUCAGUCUUCUGUCAUGAAGACAGAUGCAAAUACUUCAUUCAGCUUCUCCUCAAUCUCCUUAUCCUCCAUUAGCCGUCCUUUGACUCCCUGGUCAUCAAAGUGUCCAACCUCCUCCAUAGAUGGUCUCCUGCCACAAAGGUAUUUAAAGAACUUCCUGUUGCUGGUUUUAAUGUUUUUCAUAAUGUACCGUAUUUUUUGCUCUAUAAGACUCACUUUUUCCCUCCUAAAAAGUAAGGGGAAAUGUCUGUGCAUCUUAUGGAGAGAAUGCA